rnacentral:rRNA from 1 species
GACGAACGCUGGCGGCGUGGAUUAGGCAUGCAAGUCGAACGGUAGGAUACCUUCGGGUAUCUGAGAGUGGCGAACGGGUGAGUAACACGUAGGUGAUCUACCCUCAAGAUUGGGACAACCCAGGGAAACUUGGGCUAAUACCGGAUGUGAGCUAUCGUGAGAUAGUUUGAAAGGUGGCUUCGGCUGCCGCUUGAGGAUGAGCCUGCGUCCUAUUAGCUAGUUGGUGAGGUAACGGCUCACCGAGGCAGUGAUAGGUAGGCGGCCUUAACGGGUGGUCGCCCACACUGGGAUUGAGAUACGGCCCAGACUCCUACGGGAGGCAGCAGUCGAGAAUAGUCUACAAUGGUCGAAAGUCUGAUAGUGCGACGCCGCGUGAACGAAGAAUCCCUUCGGGGUGUAAAGUUCUUUUAUAUGUGAGCAAUGCUUUUUAUGUGAAUAGCAUGAGAAGAGAGAUAUUAGCAUAUGAAUAAGCAACGGCUAACUCCGUGCC